rnacentral:rRNA from 1 species
CCUACGGGAGGCAGCAGUGGGGAAUAUUGCGCAAUGAGCGAAAGCCUUACGCAGCGACGCCGCGUGAGGGAUGAAGGUCUUCGGAUCGUAAACCUCUGUCAGCAGGGAAGAACGGUCACUGUGCUAAUCAGCAGGGAAUUGACGGUACCUGCAAAGGAAGCACCGGCUAACUCCGUGCCAGCAGCCGCGGUAAUAAGGAGGGUGCGAGCGUUAAUCGGAAUUAAUGGGCGUAAAGCGCUCGUAGGCGGUAUGUCAAGUCAAGGGUGAAUUCCCCGCGCUCAACGUGGGAACUGCCUUUGAAACUGGCAAACUGGAGAGUGUGAGAGGAUAGUGGAAUUGCAGGUGUAGGAGUGAAAUCCGUAGAUAUCUGGAGGAACAUCAGUGGCGAAGGCGACUAUCUGGCACAUAACUGACGCUGAGGAGCGAAAGCGUGGGUAGCAAACAGGAUUAGAGACCCUAGUAGUC